rnacentral:rRNA from 1 species
UACAGAGGUCUCAAGCGUUGUUCGGAUUUAUUGGGCGUAAAGAGCGUGUAGGCGGUUAGGUAGGUCCGUUGUGAAAACUCGAGGCUCAACCUCGAGACGCCGAUGGAAACCAUCUAACUAGAGUCCGGAAGAGGAGAGUGGAAUUCCGAGUGUAGAGGUGAAAUUCGUAGAUAUUCGGAAGAACACCAGUGGCGAAGGCGGCUCACUGGACUGGUAUUGACGCUGAGGUGCGAAAGCGUGGGGAGCAAACAGG